rnacentral:rRNA from 1 species
AACGAACGCUGGCGGCAUGCUUAACACAUGCAAGUCGAACGAGACCUUCGGGUCUAGUGGCGCACGGGUGCGUAACGCGUGGGAAUCUACCCUUUGCUACGGAAUAACUCAGAGAAAUUUGUGCUAAUACCGUAUGAUGUCGAAAGACCAAAGAUUUAUCGGCAAAGGACGAGCCCGCGUAGGAUUAGCUAGUUGGUGUGGUAAAAGCGCACCAAGGCGACGAUCCUUAGCUGGUCUGAGAGGAUGAUCAGCCACACUGGGACUGAGACACGGGCCAGACUCCUACGGGUGGCUGCAGUCGGGAAUCUUCGACAAUGGGGGAAACCCUGAACGAGCGACGCCGCGUGUGGGAUGAAGGCCUUUGGGUUGUAAACCACUGUCAGGGGGGAUGAAACCGCAAGGUUGACAGAGCCCCAGAGGAAGCACGGGCUAAGUUCGUGCCAGCCGCCGCUGUAACAC